GGGAAGUCGUUACGCCAUUCGUGAAGAUGCGGAGUACCCGCGGUUAGACGGAAAGACCCCGUGCACCUUUACUGCAGCUUCAGAGUGGCAUUAGGAAAGAACUGUGUAGCAUAGGUGGGAGGCUUUGAAGCAUCGGCGCCAGCUGAUGUGGAGCCAUAGGUGAAAUACCAC
rnacentral:rRNA from 1 species